rnacentral:tRNA from 1 species
GGUGUCGUGGUGUAGCGGUUCUGCACGCCGGCUUGUCACGCCGGAGGUACGGGGUCGGCACCCGUCGGCACCGCCA